rnacentral:rRNA from 1 species
CGAAGGGCUAGCGUUGCUCGGAAUUACUGGGCGUAAAGGGCGCGUAGGCGGUCAUUUAGUCAGGCGUGAAAUUCCCGGGCUUAACCUGGGGACUGCGCUUGCUACUGGGUGACUAGAGGGUGGAAGAGGGUCGUGGAAUUCCCAGUGUAGAGGUGAAAUUCGUAGAUAUUGGGAAGAACACCGGUGGCGAAGGCGGCGACCUGGUCCAUUACUGACGCUGAGGCGCGACAGCGUGGGGAGCAAACAGGAUU